rnacentral:rRNA from 1 species
UCCUACGGGAGGCAGCAGUAAGGAAUAUUGGUCAAUGGAGGCAACUCUGAACCAGCCAUGCCGCGUGGAGGAUGAAGGUCCUCUGGAUUGUAAACUUCUUUUAUAUGGGACGAAAAAAGGCUUUUCUAAGUCGUCUGACGGUACCAUAUGAAUAAGCACCGGCUAACUCCGUGCCAGCAGCCGCGGUAAUACGGAGGGUGCAAGCGUUAUCCGGAUUCACUGGGUUUAAAGGGUGCGUAGGUGGGUUGGUAAGUCAGUGGUGAAAUCCCCGAGCUUAACUUGGGAACUGCCAUUGAUACUAUCAGUCUUGAAUACCGUGGAGGUCGGCGGAAUAUGUCAUGUAGCGGUGAAAUGCUUAGAUAUGACAUAGAACACCAAUUGCGAAGGCAGCUGGUUACGCGGAUAUUGACACUGAGGCACGAAAGCGUGGGGAUCAAACAGGAUUAGAUACCCUGGUAGUCC